rnacentral:other from 1 species
GCGGUUCUGCCCGGCCCGUGACGGGAUGUUUUCCCAGGGACCUUAACGUGAUCCAAGGGAGCUGUCCCUGCCUCAGGCCGUGGCCUUUGGCACACGGCGCCCACCUGCAUUUUGCGGGACCCGGGAUCACACCACCCGCACGGCCAGGGCGGGCCGCC